rnacentral:hammerhead_ribozyme from 1 species
AUCCAGUUGACGAGUCCUAAAUAGAUCGAAACACGGGUCCUGGAU